CUAGCUACAGGCUUAACACAUGCAAGUCGAGGGGCAGCAUGGUCUUAGCUUGCUAAGACUGAUGGCGACCGGCGCACGGGUGAGUAACACGUAUCCAACCUGCCGUCUACUCUUGGACAGCCUUCUGAAAGGAAGAUUAAUACAAGAUGGCAUCAUGAGUCCGCAUGUUCACAUGAUUAAAGGUAUUCCGGUAGACGAUGGGGAUGCGUUCCAUUAGAUAGUAGGCGGGGUAACGGCCCACCUAGUCUUCGAUGGAUAGGGGUUCUGAGAGGAAGGUCCCCCACAUUGGAACUGAGACACGGUCCAAACUCCUACGGGAGGCAGCAGUGAGGAAUAUUGGUCAAUGGGCGAGAGCCUGAACCAGCCAAGUAGCGUGAAGGAUGACUGCCCUAUGGGUUGUAAACUUCUUUUAUAAAGGAAUAAAGUCGGGUAUGUAUACCCGUUUGCAUGUACUUUAUGAAUAAGGAUCGGCUAACUCCGUGUCAGCAGCCGCGGUAAUACGGAGGAUCCGAGCGUUAUCCGGAUUUAUUGGGUUUAAAGGGAGCGUAGAUGGAUGUUUAAGUCAGUUGUGAAAGUUUGCGGCUCAACCGUAAAAUUGCAGUUGAUACUGGAUAUCUUGAGUGCAGUUGAGGCAGGCGGAAUUCGUGGUGUAGCGGUGAAAUGCUUAGAUAUCACGAAGAACUCCGAUUGCGAAGGCAGCCUGCUAAGCUGCAACUGACAUUGAGGCUCGAAAGUGUGGGUAUCAA
rnacentral:rRNA from 1 species